GAUGAAGAACGCAGCGAAAUGCGAUAAGUAAUGUGAAUUGCAGAAUUCAGUGAAUCAUCGAAUCUUUGAACGCACAUUGCGCCCCCUGGUAUUCCGGGGGGGCAUGCCUGUCCGAGCGUCAUUACAACCCUCAAGCUCAGCUUGGUGUUGGGCCCCGCCGCCCCGGCGGGCCCUAAAGUCAGUGGCGGUGCCGUCCGGCUCCGAGCGUAGUAAUUCUUCUCGCUCUGGAGGUCCGGUCGUGUGCUCGCCAGCAACCCCCAAUUUUUUUCAGGUUGACCUCGGAUCAGGUAGGGAUACCCGCUGAACUUAAGCAUAUCAAUAAGCGGAGGA
rnacentral:misc_RNA from 1 species